UUCCCAUGGCCACCGUCGAACAAUAGCAUGCAAAACUUUACCGAUCAGAUAUGACCUCAUAGUAGUUCAAUCUACCUUGAUAGGUUUGGUGACUUCGGCCCACCUUCCUCUAUUGCGGCUUCUUCUUUUUGCUGGUUCCUAUAGUAAAUGAAACCAAGUAAGGACCACAAAUUUGUAGCACAAACACUUAUGCAAGAAAGUAAAACAAGUGUAUGCUAUACCUUUCUAACAAAUGGCCACACUCCUAUCUUCCCA
rnacentral:lncRNA from 1 species